rnacentral:rRNA from 1 species
CUUAAGCAUAUCAAUAAGCGGAGGAAAAGAAACCAACAGGGAUUGCCCUAGUAACGGCGAGUGAAGCGGCAACAGCUCAAAUUUGAAAUCUGGCGCAAGCCCGAGUUGUAAUUUGUAGAGGAUGCUUCUAGGCAGCGGCCGGUCUAAGUCCCUUGGAACAGGGCGUCAUAGAGGGUGAGAAUCCCGUAUGUGACCGGUUGGCACCUUAUACGUAGCUCCUUCGACGAGUCGAGUUGUUUGGGAAUGCAGCUCUAAAUGGGAGGUAAAUUUCUUCUAAAGCUAAAUACCGGCCAGAGACCGAUAGCGCACAAGUAGAGUGAUCGAAAGAUGAAAAGCACUUUGGAAAGAGAGUUAAAAAGCACGUGAAAUUGUUAAAAGGGAAGCGCUUGCAACCAGACUUGUUGGCGGUGUUCCGCCGGUCUUCUGACCGGUCUACUCGCCGCCUGCAGGCCAGCGUCGUCUGGGGCCGCCGGAUAAAGGUUUCAGGAAUGUAGCUCCUCGGAGUGUUAUAGCCUGUUACACAAUACGGUGCGCGCCGGGCGAGGUCCGCGCUUCGGCAAGGACGCUGGCGUAAUGGUUGUAAGCGGCCCGUCUUGAAACACGGACCAAGGAGUCGAUCAAUCGUGCGAGUGUUCGGGUGAAAAACCCUUGCGCGCAAUGAAAGUGAACGGAGGCGAGAACCGUAAGGUGCAUCGUCGACCGAUCCUGAUGUCUUCGGAUGGAUUUGAGUAAGAGCAUGGCUGAUCGGACCCGAAAGAUGGUGAACUAUGCCUAAAUAGAAUGAAACCAGGGGAAACCCUGGCGGAGUUCGCAGCGGUUCUGACGUGCAAAUCGAUCGUCAAAUUUGGGUAUAGGGGCGAAAGACUAAUCG